UUUUAGAACACUGUAUAAAUAAUUUUUACAGCGUAAAAGCAAAAUAGAUUCAUAUAUAUCGUAAUACAGUAAGCCUGAGUAUUUAAUUUAAUUUACAGUAACAAGUGGGCCAUCGAAUAACCGAAAGUAAGAAAAAUUGUGAACCUACAGUUUGGAGGAUGCAAAUCCAAUGGUGGUCCUCGAUGAAAUCAGCUAUCUAUAGAUUAUCCUGAGCCUGAAAUGGGUGGAAAGGAGGGUGGUGAGAUUAUAUAAUCCCAGUGAGUAAACAUAUACCAUCUAAAAUAUCUAAAGCCGAGUAAAUGGAGACAAAUAAAACAGUUUAACAUACUGUAAUUCAUCACCUUUCAACUUGUUUCAAUCAAAUAAAAUCAAUUCAUAUAAAUCGAGUAAUCAACAUGUCUUAUGAAUUUCUUAAAACUUUGGCUCGUUUCAAAAAUCAUUUUCAUACCCAGUUAUCAAGGAUGCCUUGAUCGAGGGCUAUCCCAACCGCGUCCGCCAAGGCUGUUAAAAAGUUAUGUACGCAUAAAUCAUGUUUUUAUUUUAAAAAUAUAGCUGUUCUUUGGCAUUAGCAAAGUUCAUCAUCACAAGGUGGUUUGGCGUGAAGUGAACUCUAAAGUUAUACCUCGGGAGUUACCCUACUCGCCUCUCCAAUCGAGGUAAAAUAUGACCAGGUUCGUGCCCCUCUAAUAGUCUAGUCCACAGAACCAGCCCACUGCAGCAAGCUAAACCCACCAUACAAUAAAAAACUGCAGCAAGCUAAACCCACCAUACAAUAAAAAUUCAACAGCAUGACAUGGCAAUUUUAUCAUUAUCCAGCCUAUCAAGGCAAACAACAGUUUAUACAUUUCAACACAAAUACCAAUUCAGCCAUUCAUGCCAAUAUUGUCAUAAGCCAAUCGAUUAGAACCAUAAAUUCACAAUACAUCAAAUGGUCUCCAAUUACUCUAUUUGCAAAGCCAUCAUUCAAUUUUAAAACAAUUUUAUGAAAUCAUUUUAUUUAAACCCAUUUUGUUUAUAAAACCUAAAAAUUUACCAUUUAAACUCAUUUUUCAUAAAAUCACAAAAUCGAAUAAAAACCACUCUAGAUAAUUAAGACGAUAGUAAGGUUACUCACUAUUUCGGGAGUCGAAUUCCAAGUACUCCGAUUCUUGAUCCUUGGGUACUAUCUCUUUACUUUUGCCAUAAUGCUCACCACCUAGACAUAAUGCACAAUAAGCCAUUUACUACAUUGUGCUAAAUUGUUAUAAAACCAAUUCAGGCUUUAUACUAAUGUAUGAAAUGAGAUGCAAAUUGUUCAGAUUACUGUCUAAACACGGUAUUCUACACAAAUUCAUUUGGGUCCUUAAUUAAAUCGGUAUUGGCCUAAUUCGAUCUAUCACUCGAUUAAUUGGUCAAUAUGUCUAAUUCAACUCCAAUUAACUCCAUUUUUCUCCCAAUACUCCAAAUCAUUAAACACAAUUUCAAUAACUUGAAAUGUGGCAAAAUCAUCCUCACAUUUUCUCUUGGAAAAUUCAGCCGUGGUGGGUGCAUCGACACCAUGAUUUUUCCUACUUGAUUCUCAUACCACAAAUCACUAAUUCCUAACCAAAUCACUUGAAAUAAAAUUAAAAUCAUCAUCAAUAUUCUACAUGGAGAAUUUGACCAAUGAUGGGUUAUGGGAGAAAAUGAAUUUUUCUUGUUUGAUUUUCAUGCUACACAUCACUAACUAACUAAAAACACUAGAAUAUCUUAAAAUCUAACAAAAACAACCACCAAAUCUUCUCUCUUUAAAUUCAGUUAGCCAUGAAUCCUUCAUGAUAACUUGUCAUUCAACCAUGAAAAAUGCAAAAUAAUGCAUGGAAAAGGUAGAUCCAAAGUCAAAAUCAAGAAAUUUUACCUUUGAUUGGUUGAUUACUUGAAAUCCACAAAAUUUUCUCUUGAAUUUUCACCCUAGGGUUCUUGUUCUUUCUUUUCUUCCUUUAUUCUUCUUUGGCCG
rnacentral:lncRNA from 1 species